ACAGAGGGUGCAAGCGUUAAUCGGAUUUACUGGGCGUAAAGGGCGCGUAGGUGGUUGCUUAAGUGAGAUGUGAAAUCCCCGGGCUUAACCUGGGAACUGCAUCUUAUACUGUGCAACUGGAGUGCAAUAGAGGGUAGUGGAAUUUCCGGUGUAGCGGUGAAAUGCGUAGAUAUCGGAAGGAACACCAGUGGCGAAGGCGGCUACCUGGAUUGACACUGACACUGAGGCGCGAGAGCGUGGGGAGCAAACAGG
rnacentral:rRNA from 1 species